AGAGUUUGAUCAUGGCUCAGAACGAACGCUGGCGGCAGGCUUAACACAUGCAAGUCGCAGGAGAAGGGAGCUUCGGCUCCCGGGCACUGGCGGACGGGUGAGUAACGCGUGGGAACCUCCCUCGAGGUGGGGGACAACCGCUGGAAACGGCGGCUAAUACCGCAUACGCCCUUUUGGGGAAAGCUACGGCGCCCUGAGAUGGUCCCGCGUCGGAUUAGCUAGUUGGUGGGGUAACGGCCUACCAAGGCGACGAUCCGUAGCUGGUCUGAGAGGAUGACCAGCCACACUGGAACUGAGACACGGUCCAGACUCCUACGGGAGGCAGCAGUGGGGAAUAUUGGACAAUGGGGGCAACCCUGAUCCAGCCAUGCCGCGUGGGUGAAGAAGGCCUUAGGGUUGUAAAACCCUUUCAGCGGGGAAGAUGAUGACGGUACCCGCAGAAGAAGCCCCGGCUAACUCCGUGCCAGCAGCCGCGGUAAUACGGAGGGGGCUAGCGUUGUUCGGAAUUACUGGGCGUAAAGGGCGUGUAGGCGGUUUGCCAAGUCAGAUGUGAAAGCCCCGGGCUUAACCUGGGAACUGCAUUUGAGACUGGCAGGCUAGAGGUUGGAAGAGGAGAGUGGAAUUCCCAGUGUAGAGGUGAAAUUCGUAGAUAUUGGGAAGAACACCAGUGGCGAAGGCGGCUCUCUGGUCCACACCUGACGCUGAGGCGCGAAAGCGUGGGGAGCAAACAGGAUUAGAUACCCUAGUAGUCC
rnacentral:rRNA from 1 species